rnacentral:lncRNA from 1 species
AAUCAAACUGGUGCCCAUAUGGGAUGCAGGCGCUGCAGGCCAGGGCCUUAACCCACUGUGCCACAGCACCAGUCCUGGGAACAUUAUCUUUUUGUUACAGCUUGGAUGAUAGUUUGGGAGUCCCCCAAAGACCCAUAUGUGGGUUGUUUGAUCCUCAGAGUCUUAGGUAAAUGUAUUAAGAAGGUGAGAACUCUGGGAAGUGAUUGGUUUGAAUUAGGUGGCAACAGCGAAAGCUCAUGAUUGAAUUAUGAUGGAUUUUUUAAGGAUGACCACAUGGAGGAGUGUUUACCCUUACUCUCUGCUUCCUUCCCUGCUGUGUGAUCAUUCCUCUGAUACCUUCCAGCCUUACCAGGUGCCUGAACCAAUGGUAUCACCAAAUCUUGGACUGUGAACCUCCAAAACUAUAAAAAUGGGAGGCAGGAGCCCAAGCACAAGUGCCAUCUUCUGCUGCCUUCACAGGUGUAAUUACUGGGAGCCAGGUCAGGAGCUGAUCAGAAGGGAUUCCAACCUGCACUCAUGUGGGAAUCUGGCAUCACAUGUGGGAGCACUGUCUGCUGAGCCACAGCCCUUGUCUGGACAUCUGGCGUUUUCAACCUUUGUCCAUAGGCCUGACUCCAAGCAAAGAGCUCCAUUCAAGGCACCCACAUGGCUCACAGUCCACAUCUGGAAGGAGGCUCAAUGAUCCAAGCUGUCAGAGGGAAAUCAGGACUGCCAGAUUAAAUAAGAUCAGUCAACCUUCUGAAUGGUCCGUCCCCUCAGAGUGCUGCUCCCCUCUCUCCUGCAUGUUGCCAUUCUCUCUGUCAAAGGAAUUCUGCACAGGGGUGGCAGAAGCCUGUUUGCCUCCUUGGCCUUCCGAGCAUGUCCUCCUGUCUUGCUCCACUUUGAAAGCAGAGAAGGACAUCCCUUGUUUCAAGGUAGUAUCACAAAAAUAUUGUGAUAUUUUCAUUAUUAAAAAUAAAUUUUAGAGCACUGCUUAUGAAAAUGGUUUUGAUAGUAUGUUUCACUUAACUCAUACAACAAUGAGGAUCCCCUCCCCUCGAAAUUAAAAGAUAAUUGAACCAUCUCUUAAAAAGAAAACUCACAGGAAAACAAGGAAUUCUGUAUUUAGCAGCAUAACCUAUGACUUUUACAGGGUUGGAAUUUUAUGAAAAUUACUAGAAGAGCCAUUGAAUAUAUUAAUACUUCAGGGGCUGCCCAGUAAAAGUGCCUGCAUCUAUAUCAGAGCACCAGUUUGAAUCCUAGCUGCUUUGGUUCUAAUCUCGCUUCCCUGCUAACGUUCCUGGGAAGCAGUGGCUGAUGGCCCUGUGCUCGAGUUCAUGCUACCCACAUAUGAGCUGGAGUCCUUGGCUUCUGGCUUCAGCCUGGCUCAGCACCAGCUCUGGCAGCUAUUUAGGGAGUGAACCAGCAGAUACAUGAUCCUCCCCGGCACACACACUCUGUCUUUGAAAUAAAUAGAUAAAGAGAUUUAAAAAAAAAUACA